UAUCGCUCGGCAUUGCUCUCGGAAAUAACAGCGUUGCGCGGUCUAUGCCAGAAGAAAUCAAAUCUCGAAUGUGCAGAUUCCAAGUGGAUCGACUUGGCAAAACGGAAUUCCUGCACGUCACAGAAACGACAAUGUCUACAAACGGCAACCAUUUUAAUGGAACAAAAAUUAGGCGGAAUUUCUACGAAGCGAGGGAAGCGUCUCGUCGAAUUAUUAUGCGUAUAUGAUCAGAACUAUGCAUG